AUUGAACGCUGGCGGCAUGCCUUACACAUGCAAGUCGAACGGUAACGCGGGGCAACCUGGCGACGAGUGGCGAACGGGUGAGUAAUGCAUCGGAACGUGCCCAGUUGUGGGGGAUAACUGCUCGAAAGAGCAGCUAAUACCGCAUACGACCUGAGGGUGAAAGCGGGGGAUCGCAAGACCUCGCGCAAUUGGAGCGGCCGAUGUCGGAUUAGCUAGUUGGUGGGGUAAAGGCCCACCAAGGCGACGAUCCGUAGCUGGUCUGAGAGGACGACCAGCCACACUGGGACUGAGACACGGCCCAGACUCCUACGGGAGGCAGCAGUGGGGAAUUUUGGACAAUGGGCGCAAGCCUGAUCCAGCCAUGCCGCGUGCGGGAAGAAGGCCUUCGGGUUGUAAACCGCUUUUGUCAGGGAAGAAAUCCUCUGGGUUAAUACCUCGGGGGGAUGACGGUACCUGAAGAAUAAGCACCGGCUAACUACGUGCCAGCCGCCGCCGUAAGAC
rnacentral:rRNA from 1 species